GUGCGUUAAGGAUAGAAACGGCAUCCUUUUUACGUCAGUUCGAGUGAAUUUGCCAGAGCAAAUUUGUAUCGAGAACAAGUAAAAAGAUAUAGUGGAUAGCCUGUUAAAAC
rfam:Jejuia pallidilutea DNA, contig: NODE_15_1/1, strain: JCM 19538.